rnacentral:lncRNA from 10 species
AAUCUCACCUCGAGCUGGGUUGGGAAUGUCUCUGCAACUCUUCCUGCCCUGCCUUGCAGCUGCCUGUGUGGACGACACCAAACGGACAUGCUUAUCUGAGGGAGCACCAGAGAAUCGGAGCACCUCCACCUCUCCUUGAUGAUCCUGUCUUGUCAGUUUCCCCAAGAAAGAGCAUUCCUGUAUCCACGCUGUGUGACGAGGGUGACUCGGCAUGGAAAGGGGAUGGAAUGGAGGAUUAGGAGUUAACACAGCAGUAAGAUCACAGACUGGUCUCGCUGAUCCCAUAGGUUUGUUGUACAGGAAGCAUGGAGGCAGCAUCUGCUCAGCUUCUGGGGAUGCCACAGAGAGCAUAAAAUCAUGACUGAAGGUGAAGUGGGAGCUGACAUCCCACAAAGGGAGAGCCAGGAGUGGGAGACAGAGGGGGAGGUGCCACACACUUUCGAAGGACCAGAUCUCACGAGAACUCACUGCUGUGAGGACAGCACCAAGCCAGGGGGAUCCACCCCUAUGACCAGAAGGCCACACACCAGGCCCCACCUCCAGCACUGAGGAUGACAAUUCAACAUGAGAUUUAGAAGAGACAAUAUACAAACUUUCUCAGUGGCUUUUAAAAAUUAACAAAAUUAAAAUUUAAAAUCCCGUGGAGUCUUUCCUUGUUUUUCUUGAAUUUCUAUAUUCCCAGCUCUGAUGCAUGGAGUGCAAGAGAGUACACAUUACAAAAAAGGCUUCUCUCUAAGAUAUCUUUAUAAAAGUUUUAAGAGAGAAAAAGAUAAGGAUACACAGGACCCUCUGGUUACAGAAACAAGCACACACCAAUCUUACACUGAUUUG